AUCUAAGUACCCCGAGGAGAAGAAAUCAACCGAGAUUCCGGUAGUAGCGGCGAGCGAACCUGGAUUAGCCCUUAAGCACUCGGUGAAGUAGGUGAACAAGCUGGAAAGCUUGGCGAUACAGGGUGAUAGCCCCGUAACCGACGCUUCAUCGAGCGUGAAAUCGAGUAGGGCGGGACACGUGAUAUCCUGUCUGAAUAUGGGGGGACCAUCCUCCAAGGCUAAAUACUCCUGACUGACCGAUAGUGAACCAGUACCGUGAGGGAAAGGCGAAAAGAACCCCUGUGAGGGGAGUGAAAUAGAACCUGAAACCGUGUACGUACAAGCAGUAGGAGCACCUUCGUGGUGUGACUGCGUACCUUUUGUAUAAUGGGUCAGCGACUUAUAUUCAGUGGCAAGGUUAACCGUAUAGGGGAGCCGUAGCGAAAGCGAGUCUUAACUGGGCGCUCAGUCUCUGGAUAUAGACCCGAAACCGGGUGAUCUAGCCAUGGGCAGGUUGAAGGUUGAGUAACAUCAACUGGAGGACCGAACCGACUAAUGUUGAAAAAUUAGCGGAUGACUUGUGGCUAGGGGUGAAAGGCCAAUCAAACUCGGAGAUAGCUGGUUCUCCCCGAAAGCUAUUUAGGUAGCGCCUCGGACGAAUACUACUGGGGGUAGAGCACUGUUAAGGCUAGGGGGUCAUCCCGACUUACCAACCCUUUGCAAACUCCGAAUACCAGUAAGUACUAUCCGGGAGACACACGGCGGGUGCUAACGUCCGUCGUGGAGAGGGAAACAACCCAGACCGCCAGCUAAGGUCCCAAAGUAUUGCUAAGUGGGAAACGAUGUGGGAAGGCUCAGACAGCUAGGAUGUUGGCUUAGAAGCAGCCAUCAUUUAAAGAAAGCGUAAUAGCUCACUAGUCGAGUCGGCCUGCGCGGAAGAUGUAACGGGGCUAAGCAAUACACCGAAGCUGCGGCAAUAUCUUUUAGAUAUUGGGUAGGGGAGCGUUCUGUAAGCCGUUGAAGGUGAAUCGUAAGGUUUGCUGGAGGUAUCAGAAGUGCGAAUGCUGACAUGAGUAACGACAAAGGGGGUGAAAAACCUCCUCGCCGGAAGACCAAGGGUUCCUGUCCAACGUUAAUCGGGGCAGGGUGAGUCGACCCCUAAGGUGAGGCCGAAAGGCGUAAUCGAUGGGAAACGGGUUAAUAUUCCCGUACUUCUGACUAUUGCGAUGGGGGGACGGAGAAGGCUAGGUGGGCCAGGCGACGGUUGUCCUGGUUCAAGUGCGUAGGCUUGAGAGUUAGGUAAAUCCGGCUCUCUCUAAGGCUGAGACACGACGUCGAGCUGCUACGGCAGUGAAGUCAUUGAUGCCAUGCUUCCAGGAAAAGCCUCUAAGCUUCAGAUAGUCAGGAAUCGUACCCCAAACCGACACAGGUGGUCGGGUAGAGAAUACCAAGGCGCUUGAGAGAACUCGGGUGAAGGAACUAGGCAAAAUGGUACCGUAACUUCGGGAGAAGGUACGCUCUUGAUGGUGAAGUCCCUCGCGGAUGGAGCUGACGAGAGUCGCAGAUACCAGGUGGCUGCAACUGUUUAUUAAAAACACAGCACUGUGCAAAAUCGCAAGAUGACGUAUACGGUGUGACGCCUGCCCGGUGCCGGAAGGUUAAUUGAUGGGGUUAGCGCAAGCGAAGCUCUUGAUCGAAGCCCCGGUAAACGGCGGCCGUAACUAUAACGGUCCUAAGGUAGCGAAAUUCCUUGUCGGGUAAGUUCCGACCUGCACGAAUGGCGUAAUGAUGGCCACGCUGUCUCCACCCGAGACUCAGUGAAAUUGAAAUCGCUGUGAAGAUGCAGUGUACCCGCGGCUAGACGGAAAGACCCCGUGAACCUUUACUACAGCUUGGCACUGAACAUUGAACCUACAUGUGUAGGAUAGGUGGGAGGCUAUGAAGACGUGACGCCAGUUGCGUUGGAGCCGUCCUUGAAAUACCACCCUUGUAUGUUUGAUGUUCUAACUUAGACCCAUUAUCUGGGUUGAGGACAGUGCCUGGUGGGUAGUUUGACUGGGGCGGUCUCCUCCCAAAGAGUAACGGAGGAGCACGAAGGUGGGCUAAUCACGGUUGGACAUCGUGAGGUUAGUGCAAUGGCAUAAGCCCGCUUAACUGCGAGAAUGACGGUUCGAGCAGGUGCGAAAGCAGGUCAUAGUGAUCCGGUGGUUCUGUAUGGAAGGGCCAUCGCUCAACGGAUAAAAGGUACUCCGGGGAUAACAGGCUGAUACCGCCCAAGAGUUCAUAUCGACGGCGGUGUUUGGCACCUCGAUGUCGGCUCAUCACAUCCUGGGGCUGAAGUCGGUCCCAAGGGUAUGGCUGUUCGCCAUUUAAAGUGGUACGCGAGCUGGGUUUAGAACGUCGUGAGACAGUUCGGUCCCUAUCUGCCGUGGGCGUUGGAAGAUUGAAGGGGGCUGCUCCUAGUACGAGAGGACCGGAGUGGACGAACCUCUGGUGUUCGGGUUGUGUCGCCAGACGCAUUGCCCGGUAGCUAAGUUCGGAAUUGAUAAGCGCUGAAAGCAUCUAAGCGCGAAGCGAGCCCUGAGAUGAGUCUUCCCUGACAGUUUAACUGUUCUAAAGGGUUGUUCGAGACUAGAACGUUGAUAGGCAGGGUGUGUAAGCGUUGUGAGGCGUUGAGCUAACCUGUACUAAUUGCCCGUGAGGCUUAACCA
rnacentral:rRNA from 1 species